UGGUUCUGGCAUCGAUGAAGAACGCAGCGAAAUGCGAUAAGUAAUGUGAAUUGCAGAAUUCAGUGAAUCAUCGAAUCUUUGAACGCACAUUGCGCCCUUUGGUAUUCCGAGGGGCAUGUCUGUUCGAGCGUCAUUUCAACCCUCAAGCUUCUGCUUGGUAUUGGGCUUCAUCCUGCUUAAGGGAUGUGCCUAAAACUCAUUGGCGGUUGCACUUAGCUCCCUCGCGUAGUUAUUUUUUUUCUCGCUUGGAAAUUUAGGUGUAACCCGCCUGAGAACCCCCCAUAUUUUCUCAAGUUUUGACCUCGGAUCAGAUAGGGAUACCCGCUGA
rnacentral:misc_RNA from 1 species